AUUUAUAAAGUUUAUAAAACAUUUCAUUUUCAUUGAAAAGAGAGACUUAGUCUUAUAAGUA
rnacentral:tRNA from 1 species